UACAGAGGUCUCAAGCGUUGUUCGGAUUCAUUGGGCGUAAAGGGUGCGUAGGCGGCGCGGUAAGUCGGGUGUGAAAUCUCCGGGCUUAACUCGGAAAGGUCAACUGAUACUGUGCGACUAGAGUGCAGAAGGGGCAACUGGAAUUCUCGGUGUAGCGGUGAAAUGCGUAGAUAUCGAGAGGAACGCACUGCGGCGAAGGCGGGUUGCUGGGCUGACACUGACGCUGAGGCGCGAAAGCCAGGGGAGCGAACGGG
rnacentral:rRNA from 1 species